rnacentral:rRNA from 1 species
AGUGAACGCUGGCGGUAGGCCUAACACAUGCAAGUCGAACGGCAGCACAGUAAGAGCUUGCUCUUACGGGUGGCGAGUGGCGGACGGGUGAGGAAUACAUCGGAAUCUACUUUUUCGUGGGGGAUAACGUAGGGAAACUUACGCUAAUACCGCAUACGACCUACGGGUGAAAGCAGGGGAUCUUCGGACCUUGCGCGAUUGAAUGAGCCGAUGUCGGAUUAGCUAGUUGGCGGGGUAAAGGCCCACCAAGGCGACGAUCCGUAGCUGGUCUGAGAGGAUGAUAAGCCACACUGGAUCUGAGACACGGUCCAGACUCCUACGGGAGGCAGCAGUGGGGAAUAUUGGACAAUGGGCGCAAGCCUGAUCCAGCCAUACCGCGUGGGUGAAGAAGGCCUUCGGGUUGUAAAGCCCUUUUGUUGGGAAAGAAAAGCAGCAGGUUAAUACCCCGCUGUUCUGACGGUACCCAAAGAAUAAGCACCGGCUAACUUCGUG